rnacentral:rRNA from 1 species
AUUGAACGCUGGCGGCAGGCCUAACACAUGCAAGUCGAACGGUAACAGGAAACAGCUUGCUGUUUCGCUGACGAGUGGCGGACGGGUGAGUAAUGUCUGGGAAACUGCCUGAUGGAGGGGGAUAACUACUGGAAACGGUAGCUAAUACCGCAUAACGUCGCAAGACCAAAGAGGGGGACCUUCGGGCCUCUUGCCAUCGGAUGUGCCCAGAUGGGAUUAGCUAGUAGGUGGGGUAACGGCUCACCUAGGCGACGAUCCCUAGCUGGUCUGAGAGGAUGACCAGCCACACUGGAACUGAGACACGGUCCAGACUCCUACGGGAGGCAGCAGUGGGGAAUAUUGCACGAUGGGGGCAAGCCUGAUGCAGCCAUGCCGCGUGUAUGAAGAAGGCCUUCGGGUUGUAAAGUACUUUCAGCGGGGAGGAAGGGAGUAAAGUCAAUACCUUUGCUUAUUGACGUUACCCGCAGAAGAAGCACCGGCUAACUCCGUGCCAGCAGCCGCAGUAA